AAUUUUUUAUGAUUAGCCAUCGUUCUCUUCAAAACGCUGGCGCGUAACCUUUUGCUCCUAGUUCUCUUCCUCCCAAGGUGGCUGAGAGCAGUUCUUUUUACACCCUAGUCGAAAGGCAGCCGCCAGUGGGAGUUUUACCGUCUUUCCCUGUCUUAUUUCUCCCGUUUCAGAAAGAUCGCUUUCCUACGACUUCUGGCCGUCUGCUUUGCCUGGCUGAGGAGACACCCCAGCCUUCCUCCACCCACAUGGCCUUGCAGCCAAAGACCCAAAAUGCAGGGAGUGGUCCAAUUAAAAAUCUGGGCACGCAAGGAAAAGCAGGCAUCAAAGGACAACCCCAUUCUCCUUACAAAAAAAAAAAAAAAAAAAGGAAAGAAAAAGAAAGAGCAGUAUGUAAAUAUUUUAUUUCAAGUUCUUUUGUGCUAAUUAAGGAGUAUGGGCAGUUUUUAAUAGGGUCAGCAACUACUCAUUUGGAGUGGAAUCUUCUUAAUGGACUGGGAUAAACAAGAAAGAAUGCCUUAAAGUGAAGUCUCAUUACGCAGGCACAGCCCCAAGCCAUGUUCCCUUCGGGCAUCUGCUGGCUUCCAGGACGUUCGUGGGCGAGGUGAGAUGUGCCCAAAGGAGGUACCUCUUUCAGAGGGCAUCUGUGUGAGAGCAGACGCAGGCGGCCUCAGUCACCGAGCGUGCACUUCAAGACUGUCAUUUUAAUUCUGAAGUGUUCAUGUAUCCUACUCAUUUCUGAAAACACACGUGCCACCUCGGCGUCUAGCUCCGGGGACGUCAACCCCCCCUCGCUUCCCCCUUCCCUUCCUCUCUCUACCAGUAACAGGGCGGAUUUGGAAACGGUUUCAACUCUGUACCACCUUGGCCAUCUCUUCAGGUUCAAUGUGUCUCUUCUGCUUAAGAAUUCAGGAUGCAUGGGCCGCACAUCGGUGUCAACCCUUCGGCUUGGCUGGGACCACCUGGGUUGGCCAGCAACUUUGACGGAUGCAAUCCAGAAGAGGAAACAAUAUCUCUGUUGAGAGCCACUGCCCUUGGCCUGAAUUCGUCAAACGAAACCCUGGCAAGACCAUCCCGUUAUCCUCCUGGUGCCCUGGGAAAACGGAGAUUACGAGGGUCAACUCCGACCAACGCUCCCGAGACUCGAGCCUUCUGGCUGCGUGACCGGCGGUUACCCCCACUGCACAGGAAAAGACAAAUCCUCGCUUUUUAAAUGUACCUGACAUUGUAAUGAGCCUGACAUUGUAAUGAGCCAUAGUAAGGUAGAUGUUAACAGCGGGGGAAACUGAGUGAGAACUCUACUAUCUUUGCAACUUCUCUACAAAUCUAAAAUGAUUCCGAAUGAGUUUAUUUUAGAGAAAUAGACCCACAACCUGGAGGUAUAAAUACUUCCCAAAGGAGUAUACAGCAAGUGACUCCUGUCAUCCCGUCCCUCCGUCCAUCCCUAAGUUGGCCACAGGCAGCGCUGUGCCUGCCAGCAUGUGUCACACUGCCAGGGAUGCAGUCUGUGCAGGGAGGAGGAAAUAAAGUGGCUAUGUAAUAAUGGAAGAUGGGCCCU
rnacentral:lncRNA from 1 species